rnacentral:tRNA from 1 species
GCUCAGUUGGUAGAGCAUGGUGUUUGCAACGCCAGCAUGGUGGUUGCAACGCCAGGGUUGUGGGUUCGAUUCCCAC